CAGGAGAGUAGAGAUUAACAAACUAAGCUGAAACAGAGGAAAGGUAAGUGGCGCUUAACAGGUAAGGCUGCGGAGCAGUGGAAGAUGGGGCUUGACAGGUAAGGCUGCGGAGCAGUGGAAGAUGGGGCUUAACAGGUAAGGCUGCGGAGCAGUAGAAGAUGGGGCUUGACAGGUAAGGCUGCGGAGCAGUGGAAGAUGGGGCUUGACAGGUAAGGCUGCGGAGCAGUGGAAGAUGGGACUUAACAGGUAAGGCUGCGGAGUAGUAGAAGAUGGGGCUUAACAGGUAAGGCUGCAGAGCAGUAGAAGAGGGGCUUAACAGGUAAGGCUGCGGAGCAGUAGAAGAUGGGGCUUAACAGGUAAGGCUGCGGAGCAGUAGAAGAUGGGGCUUGACAGGUAAGGCUGCGGAGCAGUGGAAGAUGGGGCUUAACAGGUAAGGCUGCGGAGCAGUGGAAGAUGGGGCUUAACAGGCUAAGCUAGAGUUGAGUUGAAUGUAAAAUGUGAUUAACAGGCUAAGCUGAAUCAAGGAGAAGGUAAGUGAUGUUUAACAAGCUAAUCUGCAAUGGAAGGGAGGUAAGUGGAGCUAAACUGGAGUAGAUGGAACAUAAGUGGGGCCUACCACGCUAUGCUGGACUGGAUGGUGAUGGAGAAUGAAUUAUUUUAUCUAUGCAAUGCUUAGUGAAUAUUCCCCUAGACAUACAGAGCUAUA